rnacentral:rRNA from 1 species
GACGAACGCUGGCGGCGUGCUUAACACAUGCAAGUCGAACGGAAAGGCCCUGCUUGCGGGGUACUCGAGUGGCGAACGGGUGAGUAACACGUGGGUGAUCUGCCCUGCACUUCGGGAUAAGCCUGGGAAACUGGGUCUAAUACCGGAUAUGACCUUCCAUGUAGCGUGGGGGGUGGAAAGAUUUAUCGGUGUGGGUUGAGCCCGCGGCCUAUCAGCUGGUUGGUGGGGUAAUGGCCUACCAAGGCGUCGACGGGUAGCCGGCCUGAUAGGGUGGCCGGCCACAUAGGGCUUGGGAAGGGGCCCGGACGCAAACGGGAGGAAGCGGUGGGGACUUUUCCACAAGGGGCGGAGGCCGGGGGCAGGGACGCCGGGUGGGGAUGACGGCCUUCGGGUUGUAAACCUCUUUCGACAGGGACGAAGCUUCGGUGACGGUACCUGUAGAAGAAGCACCGGCUAACUACGUG